rnacentral:rRNA from 1 species
AGACAGUUCGGUCCCUAUCCGUCGCAGGCGUAGGAAAUUUGAGAAGACCUGUCCUUAGUACGAGAGGACCGGGAUGGACGUACCUCUGGUGUACCAGUUGUCCUGCCAAGGGCAUGGCUGGGUAGCUAUGUACGGAAUGGAUAAGCGCUGAAAGCAUCUAAGCGCGAAGCCAACUUCAAGAUAAGAUUUCCCACCGCAAGGGUAAGACCCCAGAAAGACUAUCUGGUUGAUAGGUCGAAGGUGUAAGUGUAGCAAUGUAUUUAGCUUAUCGAUACUAAUAGGUCGAGGACUUGACCAAU